GGCGGCGUGCUUAACACAUGCAAGUCGAACGAUGAACCACUUCGGUGGGGAUUAGUGGCGAACGGGUGAGUAACACGUGGGCAAUCUGCCCUUCACUCUGGGACAAGCCCUGGAAACGGGGUCUAAUACCGGAUAUCACUCCUGCAGGCAUCUGUGGGAGUCGAAAGCUCCGGCGGUGAAGGAUGAGCCCGCGGCCUAUCAGCUUGUUGGUGAGGUAGUGGCUCACCAAGGCGACGACGGGUAGCCGGCCUGAGAGGGCGACCGGCCACACUGGGACUGAGACACGGCCCAGACUCCUACGGGAGGCAGCAGUGGGGAAUAUUGCACAAUGGGCGAAAGCCUGAUGCAGCGACGCCGCGUGAGGGAUGACGGCCUUCGGGUUGUAAACCUCUUUCAGCAGGGAAGAAGCGAAAGUGACGGUACCUGCAGAAGAAGCGCCGGCUAACUACGUGCCAGCAGCCGCGGUAAUACGUAGGGCGCAAGCGUUGUCCGGAAUUAUUGGGCGUAAAGAGCUCGUAGGCGGCUUGUCACGUCGGGUGUGAAAGCCCGGGGCUUAACCCCGGGUCUGCAUUCGAUACGGGCUAGCUAGAGUGUGGUAGGGGAGAUCGGAAUUCCUGGUGUAGCGGUGAAAUGCGCAGAUAUCAGGAGGAACACCGGUGGCGAAGGCGGAUCUCUGGGCCAUUACUGACGCUGAGGAGCGAAAGCGUGGGGAGCGAACAGGAUUAGAUACCCUGGUAGUCCACGCCGUAAACGGUGGGAACUAGGUGUUGGCGACAUUCCACGUCGUCGGUGCCGCAGCUAACGCAUUAAGUUCCCCGCCUGGGGAGUACGGCCGC
rnacentral:rRNA from 1 species